GAGUUUGAUCUUGGCUCAGGACGAACGCUGGCGGCGUGCUUAACACAUGCAAGUCGAACGAUGAAGCCCAGCUUGCUGGGUGGAUUAGUGGCGAACGGGUGAGUAACACGUGGGUGAUCUGCCCUGCACUUCGGGAUAAGCCUGGGAAACUGGGUCUAAUACCGGAUAUGACCAAAGGCUGCAUGGUUUUGGUGGAAAGUUUUUCGGUGCAGGAUGAGCCCGCGGCCUAUCAGCUUGUUGGUGGGGUAAUGGCCUACCAAGGCGACGACGGGUAGCCGGCCUGAGAGGGCGACCGGCCACACUGGGACUGAGACACGGCCCAGACUCCUACGGGAGGCAGCAGUGGGGAAUAUUGCACAAUGGGCGAAAGCCUGAUGCAGCGACGCCGCGUGAGGGAUGACGGCCUU
rnacentral:rRNA from 1 species